ACCCGCUGAACUUAAGCAUAUCAAUAAGCGGAGGAAAAGAAACCAACAGGGAUUGCCCUAGUAACGGCGAGUGAAGCGGCAACAGCUCAAAUUUGAAAUCUGGCUUCGGCCCGAGUUGUAAUUUGUAGAGGAAACUUUUGGUGAGGCACCUUCUGAGUCCCUUGGAACAGGGCGCCAUAGAGGGUGAGAGCCCCGUAUAGUCGGAUGCCGAUCCAGUGUAAAGUUCCUUCGACGAGUCGAGUAGUUUGGGAAUGCUGCUCAAAAUGGGAGGUAAAUUUCUUCUAAAGCUAAAUAUAGGCCAGAGACCGAUAGCGCACAAGUAGAGUGAUCGAAAGAUGAAAAGCACUUUGAAAAGAGGGUUAAAUAGCACGUGAAAUUGUUGAAAGGGAAGCGUUUGUGACCAGACUUGCGCCGUUCCGAUCAUCCGGUGUUCUCACCGGUGCACUCGGGGCGGCUCAGGCCAGCAUCGGUUUUGGCGGGGGGAUAAAGGUUCAGGGAACGUGGCUCCUCCGGGAGUGUUAUAGCCCUGGGCGUAAUGCCCUCGCCGGGACCGAGGUUCGCGCAUCUGCAAGGAUGCUGGCGUAAUGGUCAUCAACGACCCGUCUUGAAACACGG
rnacentral:rRNA from 1 species